GACGAACGCUGGCGGCGUGCCUAAUACAUGCAAGUCGCACGCAGUGGGGACGGGUGAGUAACACGUGGGUAACCUCCCAUCAGAGGGGAUAACACUUGGAAACAGGUGCUAAACCGAUACUGAUGGAUGAACCCGCGGUGAAUUAGCUAGUUGGUGAGGUAACGGCUCACCAAGGCCACGCUGCAUAGCCGACCUGAGAGGUUGAUCAGUCAACCUGGAACUAGGACACGUUCCAGACUCCUACGGGAGGCAGCAGUGGGGAAUAUUGGACAAUGGGCGAAAGCCUGAUCCAGCGAUGCCGCGUGUGUGAAGAAGGUCUUCGGAUUGUAAAGCACUUUAAGUUGGGAGGCGUUACCAACAGAAUAAGCACCGGCUAACUUCGUGCCAGCAGCCGCGGUAAUUC
rnacentral:rRNA from 1 species